rnacentral:rRNA from 1 species
UGACGACGAGAUGCUACGGCAUCGAAGCAGUCUAUGUCAUACUUCCAAGAAAAGCUUGCACUGUCAUAAACAAAUAAUGCCUGUACCAUAACCGACACAGGUGGGUAGGUAGAGUAUACUAAGGGGCGCGAGAUAACUCUCUCUAAGGAACUCGGCAAAAUGACUCCGUAACUUCGGGAGAAGGAGUGCCUUAUUUAUAAGGUUGCAAUAACAAGAUCCAAGCAACUGUUUAUCAAAAACACAGGUCUCCGCUAAGUCGUAAGACGAUGUAUGGGGGCUGACGCCUGCCCAGUGCCAGAAGGUUAAAGAAGUUGGUUAGUGUAUGCGAAGCUGAUGACUGAAGCCCUGGUGAACGGCGGCCGUAACAAUAACGGUCCUAAGGUAGCGAAAUUCCUUGUCGGGUAAGUUCCGACCCGCACGAAAGGCGUAAUGAUUUGGAUACUGUCUCGGAGAGAGGCUCGGUGAAAUAGACUUGUCUGUGAAGAUGCGGACUGCCUGCACCAGGACAGAAAGACCCUAUGAAGCUUUACUGUAACUUGAAAUUGGAAUUGGACUUUGCUUGCGCAGUAUAGGUGGGAAGCGUUGAAGAUAUUCUUGCGGGAGUAUUGGAGCUAUCAGUGAGAUACCACUCUUGUAAUGUUAGAUUUCUAACUUUGAACCAUAAUCUGGUCAAAGAACAGUUUCAGGUGGGCAGUUUGACUGGGGCGGUCGCCUCCCAAAUGGUAACGGAGGCGUACAAAGGUUUCCUCUGAACGGAUAGAAAUCGUAUCUAGAGUGUAAAGGCAUAAGGAAGCUUGACUGUGAGACCUACAAGUCGAGCAGGGACGAAAGUCGGUCUUAGUGAUCUGACGGUACUGAGUGGAAAGGCCGUCACUCAACGGAUAAAAGUUACUCUAGGAUAACAGGCUGAUCUCCCCCAAGAGUUCACAUCGACGGGGAGGUUUGGCACCUCGAUGUCGGCUCAUCGCAUCCUGGGGCGGUAGUACGUCCCAAGGGUUGGGCUGUUCGCCCAUGAAAGCGGUACGCGAGCUGGGUUCAGAACGUCGUGAGACAGUUCGGUCCAUAUCCGGUGUAGGCGUUAGAAUAUUGAGAGGAGCCUUCUUUAGUACGAGAGGACCGAGAAGGACACACCGCUGGUGUACCAGUUAUCGUGCCAACGGUAAACGCUGGGUAGCUAUGUGUGGAGUGGAUAACCGCUGAAAGCAUCUAAGUGGGAAGCCCACCUCAAGAUGAGUAUUC